UACGAGGGGGGCAAGCGUUGUUCGGAAUUAUUGGGCGUAAAGGGUGCGUAGGCGGUUUGGUAAGUCUUAUGUGAAAUCUACAGGCUCAACUUGUAGUCUGCAUGAGAAACUGCCGGGCUUGAGUAUGGGAGAGGUGAGUGGAAUUCCUGGUGUAGCGGUGAAAUGCGUAGAUAUCAGGAGGAACACCAGUGGCGAAGGCGGCCAUCUGGAUCAACACUGACGCUGAGGCACGAAAGCGUGGGGAGCAAACAGG
rnacentral:rRNA from 1 species